rnacentral:lncRNA from 1 species
UUUAGAUUUGCUGGAAUCAGUUGCCUUAAUAUUACAAUACUUCUCAGAGCUGAGGGAGUUAACAGUUUACUUUGAGGACAGCACUCUCCCUUUUUUAUUUAUUUUUCUUUUAAAUGACAAGGAAUAUUCUGAGAGCCAUAGAGAAGAUGUUUACCUGGUCUUAACUGCUGAAAUUUAGGAUACCUGCAGACCUCGGGGUAGUCAGUGGCAUUGCAGGGCCCCAGGGGGAGCAUGAUUUGGGUCUCAGGCUUGAGGUGAGGCACAGCUGAUUUUAAUCCUAGCAGCACAAAAUGUGGGGGCAAACAACCCCAGUGCUUUAAGGGCUUUUGCAUGAGAAGGCAGAGCAUCGACAGGACAGUCUAGCUGGCCACGAUGGGGUUGAUAUGCUCUCCACACCAAGCACCUUUGUGCUGGUCGGGAGUACCCACUGCCUCAGUGCUCUGCAGGUGGCUGGAUGUGACCGCGGGGAGGAAGGGGACGGCUGCUGUGACCAGGGGACUGCUGGCAGGGGGGCGGCCCUGUGCUGCUCAUCAGCUGUCCCCAGCUAGGAGGACCAGGAUCCGCCGUGGGAACCUCGUCCCCUUUGCCAGGACGGGAUGCUGGGGACAGGGGUGUCCCCUUUUGGGUGAUUCCUCCUGUGCUGUGUGCCCUAAGCUGCGGCUGUGUGCGCUGCUCGGUGCUCGCUAACUUUCUCUCAACAAGCACCUGGCUUCGGUGGUGAGGACAGCAAUUGCUGUGCAAACCCGUGAAGCAUCUGGAGGGGCUGUUUGGCUCGGAGCUUCUCCUGGCGCUGCAAAAAGUGGGGCAGCCUUCCUCUGCCUGUUAGAUUUUUUACAGUGAAUGGAUUUUGAAGACAAAAG